rnacentral:tRNA from 1 species
GUGGGUAUAGCUCAGUGGCAGAGCACAUGCUUAGCAUGCAUGAAGUCCUGGGUUCAAUCUCCAGUACCAUUU